GCCAUAGAUCAUGUACCAUUUCUCCUCGUGGUUAAACCUGUUUGCUCUGGUUUUAGAGCAGUUACUUAUGUAAGAGCUGCAUACUACUCACCCCUGUUGCCCAGACGUAUUAGGGACAGCAUUUUGCAGAUGAGAAGCCACAAGUCACUAAAUAAAAAUCCCAGUAUCAGAUUUGAGGUAUCUUCUCUCAAGUUGUUGGUCGGAUGUCUCCUGGAGUUCCCCAAAACAACGCAGACUCUUGCCAUGUUCCUGGUUGCCCACCAGAGCUUGGUGACCAGUGCAGCUCUCAGACCUCUUCAGAGACGAUUCCCACCUAUUUCCCCUCUCAGCCCUGUCGAUGGUGAUUAACACAGGCACUCACACCUAAGUGGUCUGCACUUCCUCGCAUCAUCGCGGGCUUAGGGUUCUUGGGUGCCAUGGUUUCUAUCUGAAAGGUCUAAGUGCAGAGAAUAAUUUCCAGUACUCAGCCUUAAAUGGGACAUCUAAGUCACACCCUGUUUCCCCCCAAGCUCGGGGAUCCUUGUAGAGAUGAGAGCAGAAAGACUGCUGGAGCUAAGGUGGUACCAGCACUUGGACCCAGAUCCAGAAGCCAAGAGACAGGAACUGUGUUUGCUACAUUUUAGUUUUACUUUUUCCCUGAAUUUUCCUUGAUAUCCACCCAUUCCCUUUUCUAGCACAGAAUAUUUACUUUGUGCGCAGCCCUUGGAUGUCGGUAACUCUUUUUAAAAGUUCUCUUACAUGGGUUGACAAUUAGGACAUUACCUUGUGUCUCAGGAAGAGGCUUUGGACUUCUGAACAGCGCAGGGGUGCUUCAGACUACUCCUCAGAUCCAAACGAAUGCACUGUGAGAUGAUCGUUAGCGCGAGGGCCAGAGCGAUGGCUUGAAUUUAGAAUGUCUCCACAGGCUCCUGCGUUUAAACACUUGGCCUCCAGCUGGUAACACUAUUUUGGGACUUUGUGGAAACUUUGGGACUUUGGCUUAGCAAGCAGAAGUAAGUUGCUGGGGGAGGGAGGGUGGCCCUUGAAUGCCACACCCGCUUAGGUGUUAGCCCAAGCUUUCCCUUUCCUAAGCUAAGAUGUGAACAAACUAUACAGUCAACUCCUGCUGACACAAUGGACUCC